rnacentral:snoRNA from 1 species
AUGGAAGUGAUGAUUAUUUCCCCAGAUGAUCGAAGCUGAUUAUACUGUGCGCUAUUUUACUUUCUCUUUUUUAGAGAAUCCAAGCCAGAAAUCUGAUCCAU